GCUCAAUUUGUUGGGGUUUAUUUAGGGAGGUCAUAAGAAACCCCCUUUAGUCGUUAGUUUUGUGGCGUUUGUACCAAUCCCUUUAAAAUAAUUGUGUUUGUGGAGGUUUAUCUAUAGGGGUUGUAAAAGAACCCCCACUAAAAGCCAGUCAAAAUUUUAAUUCUUUAUGUUUCCUGCGAUGUUCUUAACCCAACUAUGACCUAUUCCCUCCAUUCCAUUUUUUUAUUUUUAUAUUUUCCUCAUUUUAUUGCUCUUUAAAAAAUCAUAAAAUAAGUUUUGAAAAUAUUUCAGAAAUAUCUCAUCACUACGCGCUCGCUGUUGCCCAACCUAUCUCGUCUCUGCUGCCUAACCGUCGUCGCUCUGUCUCCCCAUCGCAGGGCACCAUCCCCUGAACCCAGGGUUGUUGCAUAGAGAAUUUUGGGGGCCAAAGCUUUGAGUAGUUUUAAAUGAUCCCUAACUUCGUUGAUGAUUGCUGUAUAAAUCUCCUCACUCUUAUACCACAAGUCUUAGUGCUCUUUGCUUCACUAGUCUACAACUCUAAAAGGCCAAUUGUUUGAUGAAAUAUCGUUAUUUAUUCUCCCAUUGAACUCUGCAAGCAGAUAAAAGGAUUAAAAUAAGCCAAUGUAUAGCAGAAUUGAAGCUACAUGUUUGGAGAUGAGAAAGGCUAUGCAUGAGUUAGGGAGGGUGAAUUGAAGCACAUGGACGCAGCACAACUGAGAGAGUAUGGUCACAUCAUGGUUAAACUUCAUUGCUGAUUAUUACAAGAACAUUGGGAACUCCCUGUUCUUAGUUAAGUUCAGGUUUUUAUAACCAAUCAAUUUCUUUGCCAUUGUAUCAUUACCAUGUUAUUGCCAAGAGUUAAUAGUUUCCUUAAGAGUUUUAGUACUUCCUGUUAGUAAACUGUAUUUGUAAAAUAAUUCUGAAAAUAUAAAUGAAUAUAAACAGAAAUGAUAACCAAUUCGA